GAUUUUGUUACGGUCUAUAUUUUUCUUCACGGUUUUUGACUAUGGAAUUUAUUGAAAUAUACCAGUCACGAAAUUUUGUUAUAUUGAGAAAUCAAGUACAAGAAACCGUAAUUCUCAAGGCCUAGAUGGUGCCAGCAGCCGCGGUCAUACCAUCUUGAGUAGAAAAAAAUAUAAGUGAAAGCAACUAAAAUAAAUAUAUUACUAUUGGUGAAAUAUGUUUUAUAUGGUUACUAAUAUAAGUUUAUAAUUUACACAAAUAUUGCUUGCAAACAAGGAUUAGAUACCCUUCUAUGCAGUAUAAAAAAUCUUCACGGGGUAUUAAAGUAUCUACCCAAACUCAAAUAACAUGGCGGUAAUUUUAAAGCUUAGGGGAACUUACCUAAUAAAUGAUAACCACCAAGGAAAGCUACUUUAAGUAAAAUUUUGUAUGCCGUCGUCUAGAUUAAAUAAUAUAUUUAAUCCAUAGUUAUAUAAUAACCUAUGACAGAUCUUGGUGCAGACCAUCUUAAAGAUUAAGGCGAGUUACAAUAAUAAAUUCUAUUCUAUAGGUAUAUUUAUAAAACCCAAAUAGUUGGACUUAAUAGUAAGGGUUAUAUUUUAGUUACUUCCUGAAUAUUAAUAAAAUUGUGU
rnacentral:rRNA from 1 species